rnacentral:tRNA from 7 species
UCCGCGAUAGCUCAAUGGUGGAGCAUCCGGCUGUUAACCGGAGGGUUGCAAGUUCGAGUCUUGCUCGCGGAGCAA